rnacentral:misc_RNA from 1 species
GGGGGACGAGACAUAUAUAUAUAAGUUCCAUUUCUUAGAAAAGAUAGAUAUAUAUAAGUUCCAUAUACGAGGCUAGGAAUCCAACUUCAAUAUAGAUAAAUCUCAGAGUUUUAGGAACCCAUCGAGCCUUUUAAAUUUGAAACAAAAUUUCCGGCGUUUUCUAUUGUUUUCUAGUGAGUUGCGAAUACAUAGACGUGGUGGUCCAUGGCACACAUAGAGAACGACGUACCUCCAGUCGAUCCUUGCAGAUUUGCUUGCUGUUAAUUAGUGCUUGGAAUGAAUAAAUAAAUAUUUGAACUUAUAAGAACUUCAUGUUCUCUCACUUUUAUACUGAGACUGAGAAAUUUAUAUUCUUAAUUACUUGGAUUGAUUUAUUUCUCUUUGAGAAAUUGUUCAGUGAUUUACUUACGAUUAAGAGAAAAUGGAUUCGAACUUGUGGAUCUCUAGUAGUUGAGAAUUUCCAUUUACCCUUUUAACCUUAUUUCCCAAAAUUUCAAUUUUCUAAGUGGGAAAGGUGCCUAUUAAGCUUUCCUUGUAAUGAAGAAAUGCUCGAAAAUGCUUUGGUAGCAGUUGAGUGAAAAAGGAACGAGCUCAUGCUACCAUGCAGAUUAAGAUUCGUUACUGCAUUUUCUAAUAAUAUUUUCUUUAAAAAUCGAACUUGUGUCCUCCUUUAAAAGCGCAGUAAACUUUAUCAUCACACCUAACACUUGUUGAUUUCUAUUAUUGUAGCCAUGUUUCAAAUAUUACUCAAUUUAGUCAUUAAAACUUAU